rnacentral:rRNA from 1 species
GCUUACGGCCAUACCUCUCUGGCUCCGCCUGAUCUCGUCUGAUCUCAGAAGCUAAGCAGAGUAGGGCCUGGUUAGUAGCAGAAGCUAAGCAGAGUAGGGCCUGGUUAGUACUUGGAUGGAAGACCGCCUGGGAAUCCCAGGUGCCGUAAGCU